GACGAACGCUGGCGGCGUGCUUAACACAUGCAAGUCGAACGGAAAGGCACUGCUUUUGUGGGGUGCUCGAGUGGCGAACGGGUGAGUAACACGUGUGUAACCUGCCCUUGACUUUGGGAUAACUUCAGGAAACUGGGGCUAAUACCGGAUAGGAUCUCCUGCUGCAUGGUGGGGGUUGGAAAGUUUCGGCGGUUGGGGAUGGACUCGCGGCUUAUCAGCUUGUUGGUUGGGUAGUGGCUUACCAAGGCUUUGACGGGUAGCCGGCCUGAGAGGGUGACCGGCGACAUUGGGACUGAGAGACGGCCCAGACUCGUACGGGAGGCAGCAGGGGGGAAUAUUGCACAAUGGGCGGAAGCCUGAUGCAGCGACGCCGCGUGCGGGAUGACGGCCUUCGGGUUGUAAACCGCUUUCGCCUGUGACGAAGCGUGAGUGACGGUAAUGGGUAAAGAAGCACCGGCUAACUACGUG
rnacentral:rRNA from 1 species